rnacentral:rRNA from 1 species
GGUUGAUCCUGCCAGUAGUCAUAUGCUUGUCUCAAGGACUAAGCCAUGCAAGUGCAAGUAUAAGCGAUUAUACGGUGAGACUGCGAAUGGCUCAUUAAAUCAGUUAUGAUUUACUUGAUGAUACAUUACCAAAUGGAUAACCGUGGUAAUUCUAGAGCUAAUACAUGCAUUGAGGGCGGCCUUUUUGGACGCCAGCAUUUAUUAGGUACAAACCAAUAUAUAGUUGGUGAAUCAUGAUAACUUGGCGGAUCGCAUUCCAUUGGAGGCGACGUAUCAAUCAAAUUUCUGCCCU